GAUGAAGAACGUAGUGAAAUGCGAUAACUAAUGUGAAUUGCAGAAUUCAGUGAAUCAUCGAAUCUUUGAACGCACAUUGCGCCCGCCAGUAUUCUGGCGGGCAUGCCUGUCUGAGCGUCAUUUCAACCCUCAAGCAACUUCUGCUUGGUGUUGGGGAUCGGCCGUCAAACGCCGCCCCCGAAAUCUAUUGGCGAUCUCGCUGUAGCUUCCUAUGCGUAGUAGUAACAUCUCGCAUCUGGAGAGCGGCGCGGUCAUGCCGUAAAACACCCAACUUCUCAGGUUGACCACAGAUCAGGUAGGAAUACCCGCUGAACUUAAGCAUAUCAAUAAGCGGAGGA
rnacentral:misc_RNA from 1 species